AUUCUGCCUGAUUAACGCUGGUGUUCUGUACCUCUACUUCAGUAGCUUCCAGCAGAUAGAUGAGGAGGAGUAUGGCGGGACGUGGGAGCUAACAAAGGAAGGAUUCAUGACAUCUUUUGCACUGUUUCUGGUGGUUUGGAUAAUCUUCUAUACUGCCAUCCACUAUGAUUGACACAGUCUGCAGCUUUUGCCUGUUAAAUCAGUCGUCAGUAGAUCAAGAAGGUUUUAAUAAAUCAUAGUCUCUAGUGGACUGGUGGGAAGGUGGGGGAAGUCAAAUCAACUCCCUUCCGUACCAGCGGUCUGAUUAGCCUGGAAGAGCCACAACUCUUCUGCUGGAGAAGUCCAUCUCCAUUUUAUAUACCCGUUAAUUGUUGGAACUAUUAAAAAGCCAUUGGAAUUUUUGGAAGUGGUUCAAGACUGUUCAAAUUUGGAACUUUCUGUGGCUCUAGCCAGUAACUCUAUCAAACUCCUGUGUGCUCAAGGUUGAAUCUGUUAAUUUAAUGUAUGUAUGCCCUUCUGUUUGAAAUCUGUCAUUAAAUCCUGACUUGUCUUCCA